rnacentral:rRNA from 1 species
UACAGAGGGGGCAAGCGUUGUUCGGAAUUACUGGGCGUAAAGGGCGCGUAGGCGGCCUGCUAAGUCGAACGUGAAAUCCCUGGGCUCAACCUAGGAACUGCGUCCGAUACUGGUUGGCUUGAAUCCGGGAGAGGGAUGUGGAAUUCCAGGUGUAGCGGUGAAAUGCGCAGAUAUCAGGAGGAACACCGAUGGCGAAGGCAGGUCUCUGGGCCACUACUGACGCUGAGAAGCGAAAGCGUGGGGAGCGAACAGG